AGUAACGCGUAAGCAAUCCUGCCUUUCGGUGUAGUGGAAUAACAACCGGAAACAGUUGCUAAUACCGCAUAACGCAGAGAGAUCGCAUGGUCUUUCUGCCAAAGAGUUUAUCGCACGAAGAUGAGCUUGCGUCCGAUUAGAUAGUUGGCGGGGUAACGGCCCACCAAGUCAACGAUCGGUAGCCGGACUGAGAGGUUGAACGGCCACAUUGGAACUGAGAUACGGUCCAGACUCCUACGGGAGGCAGCAGUGGGGAAUAUUGGGCAAUGGACGAAAGUCUGACCCAGCGACGCCGCGUGAGGGAAGAAGGUCUUCGGAUUGUAAACCUUAGUCAACAGGGACGAAGCAAGUGACGGUACCUGUGGAGGAAGCCACGGCUAACUACGUGCCAGCCGCGGC
rnacentral:rRNA from 1 species